ensembl:lncRNA
UCUAAAUUGCUCUUUAUUUUAUGAAAAAUAUUUACAUAUUACAAUUCAGUUAAUUUGUGUAUGAGUACACUCAGUGAAUUACCUUACAAUACAUUACAGCACACAUACUGUGUAAAUUAUAUGCAUAGGUAUUGAUUAAAUCAAAUAGAUUUUUCACAGGGACAGGCUGUAUGAGUGCCUGUAUUUAAAAUAUGGAGCAAUGUUGUUUGUAAAGAUGUUUUGGCAAUGAACUACACAUGAGAUGAUAUUUAAGAAAUAAAUAUAUCUAAGAAAUACUAUUGACAUCUGCUUGGCCCUGUUUGUGUCAGGCAGGCUAAAUGACAAGAUGUUACCUCUAAUACCUCAUGAUCUAUGCCAAAGGUCAUAUACUGUAUCACAUUUUUACAACAGUCAGGUCAAGGCAUUCAAUAUUAGGUGCACAAGAACAAACUAUGUAUUCAUGAGAAUAAAAAGAUACAGUUUGUGCAAUUUUUUCCUCAAUACAUAAAUACAUCUAAUUUUUUUUGUGUGUGGGGGGGGGUCACAACUAUGGAUAAGUGACAUAAUAGAAAGUACAAGCAAACAUCCACACAGAGGUUCUCAAACACCUGUACUGUGUUUGUCUUAUGACUCAGGUUUCUCAGGUCCAGAAUCGUUCCAGCCACUGUAAUCAGGCAGGUUUGGGCUCGGACCCAUAAAGGAUUUGGAACCAUUGAGGUCCAGAAUGUCUCACUUCAGCUCCAGGUACUGGGGUAAGACAUUAUUCCAGAACUGUUGGGAUUCUUGGGUACUUUUGGCCUGUUUUCCCCCUGUGGUCCUCUGUUUGGUACGGGCUGCUGGUUUGGGUUUCUCCCUCGGGGGAUCUUCAAUCCCUUUCCUGCUGGGGGGAGUUGCUUUAGGUGGUACGCUUUGUGAGCCUUUCUUUUUCCCCUUUGCAGGUUUUAUCUCUUCCUCCUCUUCUUCCUGUUCUUCCUCCUCUUCCUCUCCCUCCUCAUCUUCUUCCUCCUCCCCCUCUUCUCCUUCUUUACUAUCUUUCUCAUCCUCUUCUUCCUCAACUUGUUCUUCUUUAAUAUAUCUUUCUUCCUCCUCUUCUUCUCCUUCCUCUUCAUCUUCUUCCUCUCCUGUUUCCUCCACCUCCAUCUCCCCUUUCUGUUCCCCUGCAGCUUCUUCUUCUAAUUCACCAUCAAUUUCUUUAUUUUCUUUCCAUUCUUUUUCAUCUCCCUUCUCCUCCCCCCUUUUUCCACCCUCCUCUCCCUCUGUGUCUUUUCCACCUACUUCCUGUCUAUCUUUUUCUUCUUCCUCCUCUUCCUCCUCUUGCUUCUCCCUUUCCUCUUCUUGUUUGUUCGCUUCCUCCUCUCUCACUUCUAUUUCCUCUUUCUCAUCUUCCUGUUUUUCACCAUCUUCCUCCUCUUCCCCUUCUCCCUCUUCCCCUUCUCCUUUAUCAUCUUCUUCUUCCCCCUCAUCUUCUUCUUCUCCCUCCUCUUCCUCACAUUUUUCAUCUUCAAGUUCCUCCUCUCCACUAGCAUCUUCCUCCUCUUCCUCAUCUUCCUCUCCUCCCUCCUCUUCCUCCUCACCCUCUUCGACUUCACCGUUCUCCUCUUCACCUUCAUUUUCAUCCUCUUCUUCCUCACCCUCAACCGCUUCCUCUUCCUCUUCUCCUACAUUGCCCUCACCUUCUCCACUUUCUGCUCCAUUUUCCUCAUCGUCAUCCUCUUCUCCCUCCUCCUCACUUACACUUGCCUCCUCCUCCUCUUCUUCACUUUCACAACCUUCCUUAUCCUCUCCCUCUCCUUCCUCAUCUGUUCCACUCUCUCCCUCUCCUUCCUCCUCUCCUGACUCAGUAGCUUUACUUUCUUCACUCUCUGCUUCUUCUGCUUGUUCAUCUUCCUCCUCUUCUGCUGAUCCCUCACUCUUGCUCUCAGCCUCACUUCCUGAUUCAUCACCACCCUCCUCCUUGUCCUCUUUGUUUUCAUCCCCACUCUCUUCAUCAGUGGACUCUUCUUCACUCUUAUCCUCCUCUUCCCCCUCUCCACUUGUCCCAGAACCACUCUCUCCCUCCUCUCCUUCCCCAUCACUCUCUUCACUUUUCUCCUCUCCCUCUUCCUCUAGGCUUGCCUCAGAAUCACUCCCUUUGCUC